AGAUUUAGGUGGCUGAAGUGAUAUUAGUAGAUAAAUCUGGGGUAUAAGUAUAAAUAAUAAACUAGCAACUUAGUAACCAAGGAAAUGACGUAAGUUUACAUCUAUCAGAUAAUUGAGAAGAAUGGAAUUUUGUUUAUUUGGAAAAUUGAGGCAGAGCCGCGUGUCUCGAGGUGUAGAGUCAUCAUCGUCUUCUUCCUCCGAUAAAUACCUCCUCAUCUCGUCUCAAUUUCAUUCAUCACUCCCAUUCUUACUCAUCAUAUAAACUAAGCACAACCCAAAAAUUCAAGAGAUUGAAUAUCAAAAAAACCACAGAGAGAAGUUAAGAAUACGAGGCGGGUUUAAUCGACGGAGACAAAGAUGGUGACUUGACGAUCUUUCCGACGGAGUUUUGGCGAGCGGGGUGUAGCGCUCGAAAGCCCUCUAUAUAAGCUUCGUUUUGGUGGUAGUUUCCGGCUCGUUCCUCCGGUGGUGAUAGCUGUGAUCCGACGGCGAAGUUCAGCUGAUCCUAAAACCUUUCGGAUUUAAUUAGAGGUUUUGAGAUCGAGGAACCGAGAUCGACGAGUACUCUUGAUUGGACCGAGGUGAGGGUUCUCUUGCUUGACCUUUUCUGGGAAUAUGAUAAACUCGGGUAAUUGUAUCGCUCGAGUACUUGAAUUUUGCUCCCUUUCAUUGAAUUGAUCUACUCGUUAUCAUUUGAUUAUCGUUAUUUGAAAUUGAUUUGAUGAUGUUGAGCUUGAGAUUAUUUGAGAAAUGCUAUCUUAUCCAGUGUUCAACUCUUUGAUUUCCAUUUCCUUCGAAUAGUACUUAUUGAGUGAUCGGUAUGAAAUUCUUUGAAGCCGAUCAUUUUCCUUCAAGUUUUAUUCAAUUAUCUAAACUUCACAUCUUGAUACAUCGAGCCCUCUUUGAAACCUUUCACUUGAUCCCAUUUCUUCGGAAUUCUUUUGUCUUUGAAAUCCUGAAAUAAUCAGAAAUAUGGUCUUCUUAUAUGAUCGAUAAAAUCCUUUUGGGACGCCUCAAGGACAAUGGAUAUUAAUGGGCCCGGGGCUGUUUGGAGGUGACCGCUGGGCGGUAUCGGGCCGACGGUGGGUAGUCUCUCCAACAGUACCCACAUAGGUUUAGACCCGUACACAACUGGAGGUUAGUUGGGUUUCGGGCUAAACCGGCAUGCGCCCGGGCAUGCCACAUUGCAUUACAGGGUCAUUCCCUGCUCGGUGAAUAAGGUAGUAAACGGCUACGGGAGUCACAAGGUAGGUGUAUUCUUAUCUCUAUUGAUCGGAAAAUUUAUUGAUCAUCCUUACUAUUAUUCUUGAAUUUCCAAUCGAUGGAUAAUCUUUCAUCGCUUCUAUUUUCCGAUAUCACCAAUUGGUUCGAUCAUCAUACUUUCUUUCAGAUCAUGUCGUAACUCGUUAUUCUUAUAUUUCACCUCACUAAGUCUUUUAUGACUUAUCCCUCUACUUUAUUCUGUCAUAUUCUCAGACACAGGUGCAACUUGAACGAAUAAGAGGAUUUCGCGUCCGAGUAGUUAUCUUGUUUAUAUUUGUAAAAUAGUGGUUCGAUUAAGUUAAGAAUAAUCGCUGUCUUGUAUUAUAAAUAUCAGCGUUUUAACUUAUUUAUGUUAUAGUAUUGUAAUCUCAUAAGCUAGGAGCUGUUGUUAUAAAUGUUCGGAACCUUUGUACUUUACCUUGCUAGAAGUGAGGUUGUUAAUAAAUAAAUCGUACGUAUUUUUGUGAA